rnacentral:misc_RNA from 1 species
AAAUAAUACAGAAGAGCAGAUGCAGAUCUCUGAUUCUGAGAAGCCAUACAAGGAGGAAUCCCCAGAAAUUUAUGGACAUAAUGAUGGUGGUCCAGGAUCCUUUUCAGGGAGUUUAGUCUCCGUCAAGAAGUCUUACUUGAAUGAGGACAUACAUCAUCUUAGCAAACUUUCAGUAGAUGACAAUGAGCUGGGAAAAGCCCAGGAUCUGGGAGAAAUUUCCCUUGAUAGUAAAAGUAAUGCCACUGCUCUUUGGAGAAGAUAUGAGUUGCUCACAACGAGGUUGUCACAGGAGUUGGCUGAACAAUUGCGCCUAGUUUUGGAACCCACUCUAGCAAGCAAGCUUCAAGGAGAUUAUAAGACUGGAAAGCGGAUCAACAUGAAGAAGGUCAUUCCUUACAUAGCAAGUCACUACCGGAAAGAUAAAAUAUGGCUCAGACGAACCCGACCAAACAAACGUGACUACCAAGUUGUUAUUGCUGUGGAUGAUUCCCGAAGUAUGUCUGAGAGUUGCUGUGGGGAUGUUGCCAUUGAAUCUUUGGUGACGGUAUGUCGUUCCAUGUCUCAACUGGAAAUGGGAAAUUUGGCUGUUGCAAGCUUUGGCAAGAAGGGAAACAUAAAGUUGCUGCAUGAUUUUGAUCAGCCUUUUACUGGGGAGGCUGGGGUAAAGAUAAUCUCCAGUUUGACAUUCAAGCAAGAGAAUACCAUUGCCGAUGAACCAGUUGUUGAUCUGUUAAAGUAUCUGGCAAACAUGCUUGACGCUGCAGUUGCAAAAGCACGACUCCCUUCUGGACAGAACCCACUACAACAACUUGUUUUGAUUAUUGCGGAUGGACGGUUCCAUGAAAAGGAGAAAUUAAAGCGCUGUGUUAGGGAUUUUUUAAGUAAGAAGCGAAUGGUUGCGUUUCUGCUUCUGGAUAGCCAACAGGAAUCAAUUAUGGAUCAAAUGGAAGCAUCAUUUAUGGGUGAAGGUGAAAAAAAAGUACUUAAAUUCACUAAAUAUCUGGACUCUUUUCCCUUCCCAUAUUAUAUUGUAUUGAAGAAUAUUGAGGCAUUUCCGAGGACCCUUGCUGAUUUAUUGAGACAGUGGUUUGAACUUAUGCAGUAUUCAAGAGAUUAAAUUGUGUUUAAUUGAAGAGCUUGUUGCGGCCAGCAAUUUUCCUGUUACUUGCUAGAGCCUACAUUUUAGAGUAUGCACAUUCAGUACAAUUCCUGGAAAGAAAAAGAUUCUUAGGAAGACGAGUAUUGUGCUGGGCAAGGAACCAAAAUUACAUGAUCUUUUGUAUUUAUUUGGGAAAAAGAGGUGGGUUUUAUGGAUUAAGUUAAGUGUAUUGAUGUGUAAAGGGUGGAGGAU